CUUUACAAAUUUCAACUAUUCUUCUGCUCAUAGAAAAGAUAAUGAGAGAGAGACAUCACCGUCGUCACCAUCUCUCGGUCAAGUUUCUCUCUUUCUUCCUUCACUCCUACUCAUGAGUCAGUCAGGAUCAUGCUCUGCUCGAACAAUCAUUCAGGUAAACUCCACUGAAAUAGCAGAUCCUUUCUCUUGAUCUUUAAGGUUUCUUAGUUCGAGCUAGUGAUGAAUCGCUUUUGUCUCUUUUGCAGUUAUUUUCCCCGGAGGACUGAAGAUACUGUUUCAGAAACACGACGAUCCAACUCUGAUUUUAAAACCGAACUCCGUAAGAUCCGUUCCCAUCUCUUUUUGUUCCGUUAUAAUCUUCAUGUUUUCGUUAGUGAUUGAUCUCUUCCUAAUUAUAUUAGUUUCUUUCGAAUAGACGAAUUCGUACAUUUUAGAGUUUAGUUACUUAUCUUGCUUGCUAUAUAGAAUAUUGUUAAUACUUGACACACGCUCCGUAUCUAGAUUAGCUACUUUCACGUAUUGAUGCUUUUGUCUAGAUAAGCUACGCUUUGUUUCCACAAAUGAUCUCUCUGUUUUGCCCCUGUUCUGUUUUAUAGCCGAGACUGUGUGUAUAAAAUUUUAAUUUUAUUUGUUCAUGACUGUUUCGUUUUCUUAUGUAAAUACUGUUUCUGGCAGCAAGUAGAUUUCAUUUAGGUGAAUUUUUUUAUAAAGAAAAUCAAAGCUCUCUGUUUUCGUUUCACUGUUUCAGCUUUGUUUUGUGACAUACUCAUAAUUGUGUCUGCGUUUUACAAAAUUACGGAAUUUUAAAAUUUUUAAAAAUCGAUUAUAAAAUUAGGUUGUUAAAUACUCAUCACUAUCAUCCUAUCCUUUGCAAUCGUGGAGUUUUAAAGCGUUUAGGUUCCGUAGAGGAGCGCAUUUUUCUCUGGGUUAAUAACAAUCAUUAUCGUAUAUCGUAUAUUUUAACCACUAUCGUAUGAUUUAUACAUCGUAUAUUUUACUUCCUACAUUCGGCGUUUGACUUUUAGUAAAUAUGACUUCUUAAAAUUCUUAAGUAUCCAACCAAAAACGUCAAACGAUGAUUUUAAAAUUUUCUUUCUCGAUUCGUGCUUCUAUUUCAUCUUCAAACUUCGUGGCGUGGUGGAAGAAGAUAUGCUUCUAAUUCUUAUUCUCCCUUCGUCUCUUGAUAUCUUCUCUCACUCUUCCUCGUCGUAGGAGGUUUUGUUUGACAUCAAAAGACGUCGAAUCUUCAAUGCUCUGGUUUAGGAGGUAUGGUGACAGACACGAUGGUGGAGGAGAUUGGAUUGGAUUCUCAUAUUCAGCCCAACAAAAAGCCCAUUCACCUACCCAUUAAGAAACAGGUCAAUUUCUAUCCCUUCAUAAUUUUUUAAU